rnacentral:tRNA from 2 species
GGAAGUACGCCGAAGUUGGAGAGUCGGGGCAGACUGACAUGAGGAACGAAUUGAACGAUUCCUUAAAACAAAUGAAAAUAACAGAGUUAAAAUCUGUUGCUUCAUUGCUGAGUAGGUUCGAAUCCUACUACUUCCACCA